GGCACCACUGCGGGAUUUGGGCCACCCUGUGAGCCAGCACCGAGGCCCCGGCCUCAUCCCUCUUCUUUCCUGCCUGCUGUGAGGCAGCACCAGGGAACUCCUUGUAGCCCGCCAUGGGCCAGUAUCCAGCUGUCCCCUGCAGCAGGGACCUGCCCCUUUGGCCCUGUAGCCACCAACCCUGCAGCCAGCCCGACAGCCUCCCAGAAAUAGAAAAGGGAGCCGGGAGCGGGCAGAGGGCGAGCAGGAGGAGGUGGCCCCGCGGCAAGGAAGGAGGUUACCCCGCAGGCCGGGCUGCCCCGCCGUGGGACCGGAGUCGCCGCCGACAGUGAGCUGCGGCGGGAUCGGGGCAGGAUCGGCGGGGCUGGGCAGCGUCGAGGACAGCGGGUCCGCAUCCACCCAGGCCAUGCUGGACCCAGCGGCUCUCCAGCAUCCCCGCGGAGAGGGGAACGCUGUGGCCCACACCGCGACGGGCGGGGCAGCACCGGGCGGCUGCACCGAGUCCCGGCAGCGCGGAGCUCCGCUCCUGAGGGACGGGGUCCGCGGGGCGGGCUGUCCUCCCUCUCUCUGCCCCCAGCCGUCCCUCCAUCGGCCUCUCCCUCGGGUCCCCGGGCCAGCGCUGCCCCCGGGGCCGCGACCACCCAGUUCAGGCCGAGGCUGCUCGGAGGCUGCGGCGCUGCUCGGCGGUGCCGGCCGUGUCCCCCCCCCGCCCGCGGCGGUGGCGGUGGGGGCACGGCUGGCAUUGCUCGCUGACACUCUAUCUGCCAGGGCCACGCCAGCCGCGGGCCCAGAAUAGCAGCGCUGCCCCGCAGAUAGCAUGGAGCAGCUCCGCGGCUCUGCCGCGAACCAGGUGGCGCUGCUGGAUGCUGUUGCAUGCCCUGAGGAGGAAGGAUUUCCAAAGGCCGUAUGUCCCAGGGAGGAGGAAGAGGAGGAGGAAGAAUACAGGAGACCUGUCACCUUCACACUGGGAAAUGAGAUACUGGGGCUAGGCUCAGAGACCGAGUUUCAGACUCCUGAUGCUGAGGUCUACAUGCACUUCUUGAGGAGCCACUGCUGUUACGAUGCCAUACCCACCAGCUGCAAGCUUGUCGUCUUUGACAUCUCCCUGGAGCAGAUCAAGAAAGCCUUUUUGGCACUGGUGGCCAACGGGGUUCGUGCUGCCCCUCUCUGGAACAGCAAGACGCAGAGCUUUGUGGGGAUGCUCACCAUCACCGACUUCAUCAACAUCCUCCACCGCUACUACCGCUCACCUUUGGUUCAGAUCUACGAGGUGGAGGAGCACAAGAUUGAGACCUGGAGAGAGGUGUACCUGCAGGGCUCCCUCCAGCCACUGGUCUACAUCUCUCCGAGCAAUAGCCUCUUCGAUGCUGUCUACUCCCUGAUCAAGCACAAAAUCCACCGCCUACCUGUCAUUGAGCCUGUCUCGGGCAAUGUCCUGCACAUCCUGACACACAAGCGCAUCCUCAAGUUUCUCCACAUCUUUGCUUCUAGCAUCCCCAAGCCACGCUUCCUGAAGAAAACAGUGCAGGAACUGUGCAUUGGCACCUUCCGUGAUCUGGCCGUCGUGGCUGAGACUGCCCCAAUCUACACUGCCUUGGAGAUUUUUGUGGAUCGCCGUGUCUCCGCCUUGCCUGUCAUCAAUGAUGCUGGGCAAGUGGUUGGCCUGUACUCACGGUUUGAUGUCAUUCACCUGGCAGCCCAGAAGACCUACAACAACCUGGACAUCAGUGUGAGGGAGGCACUGCGGCAACGCACGGUCUGCCUGGAGGGGGUCCUCACCUGCUACCCCCAUGAACCUAUGGAGGACAUAAUCGACCGUAUUGCCAAGGAGCAGGUCCAUCGCCUGGUUCUGGUGGAUGAGAACCAAUACCCGCGGGGCAUCGUCUCCCUCUCUGACAUCCUGCAGGCCCUUGUGCUCACUCCUGCAGGUAUUGAUGCUCUUAACUCUUAGCCCACGGUGCUCCAUCUUUCUCCACUUGCACCCUCAGUUUCUCUCCACUUCAGGCAUCGAUCGAUCCUCACUCUGAAGACACCAGGGAAAUGCCACUGGCUUGUCUGACUCGGGGAUCUCUUGCGUGACCUGUGAGAAGGAGGCUCGGGCCCGAAGGCUCUCUGUGGGGAGGACGUGCCUGUUCACCCCACUCCUCGGGCUCGUCUUGAGUCCAGGGCUAGAUCCUGCCAGUCUUGGAGAGGCAGAAACACUGAAAAUGGGACCCAGGGGUGCCUCCUUCCAGUGAGCACACAGUGAUGCUCAGUGGGCACUAUGCUGGAGGGGCUGCAACGCGCCUGCAGCUGGGCAGAGACCCAUACAGCCCCGGAGGACCUGGCCACCCCUCUGCCGUCCUGCUGAUGGAUCUGAGCGUUUCUAUUGUGGCUCCCUCCUAGUGAACACAGUCCCGCUGUCUGUGCUCGGUGCCUGGUAGCAUAGGCUCAGCUGCACGCACAGCUUUUUUAUUGUAGGGUCAUACAGGGCUGGAGCUCUCUGGCAGCGGCACAGUCUGUGCCAGAGCUGGCAGCAGGAUGGGCACUUGCAUGGAAACCCUGUGCACAUUUUGGGGUGGGCAGGGGAUAUUUAUUUAUUUGUUAGUCUGUUCAGCCUUGAUGUAACAAAACAUCCUGAUCCAA